GAUGGGCAUAUGAUGAAUCUGAUGUUGUAAAUGGGUAAUUUGCAUCUGAAUUCUUUUGAUGUUUUUAUCACCUUGGAGAACUGAUGCCCGUC
rnacentral:snoRNA from 2 species